UCAACAAGGGGCCAGGCUGUUGCCUAGCAAUGGAAUUCCAUUGAAAAGGUCAAUAGAGCCAAAGUCACGCCCUUCUACUUCUGGUCCAUGGGACCU